rnacentral:rRNA from 1 species
GGGCCCGCACAAGCGGUGGAGUAUGUGGUUUAAUUCGAAGCAACGCGAAGAACCUUACCAAGACUUGACAUCCCUUUGAAUAAGCAUGUAAUGUGCUUAGCCCUUCGGGGCAAAGGUGACAGGUGGUGCAUGGUUGUCGUCAGCUCGUGUCGUGAGAUGUUGGGUUAAGUCCCGCAACGAGCGCAACCCUUAUCCUAAGUAGCUAGCAGGUAAAGCUGAGCACUCUGAGGAGACUGCCGGGGAUAACUCGGAGGAAGGUGGGGAUGACGUCAAAUCAUCAUGCCCCUUAUGUUUUGGGCUACACACGUACUACAAUGGCUGCUACAGAGAGAAGCAAAACCGCGAGGUAGAGCAAAGCUCAAAAAGGCAGUCCCAGUUCGGAUUGUAGGCUGCAACUCGCCUACAUGAAGUUGGAAUCGCUAGUAAUCGCGAAUCAGCAUGUCGCGGUGAAUACGUUCCCGGGCCUU